rnacentral:sRNA from 1 species
UUUUUUGAUUUUUUUUGGUGAUAUUCUUCAGAGCUACUUC